GAUGAAGAACGCAGCGAAAUGCGAUAAGUAAUGUGAAUUGCAGAAUUCAGUGAAUCAUCGAAUAUUUGAACGCACCUUGCGCCCUUUGGCUAUUCCGAAGGGCAUGCCUGUUUGAGUAUCAUGAACACCUCAACUGUCAUGGUUUGCCAUGAUGAGCUUGGACUUUGGGGGUCUUGCCGGCCUAUGGGUCGGCUCCUCUCAAAUUAAUCAGCUUGCCAGUGUUUGGUGGCAUCACAGGUGUGAUAACUAUCUACGCUUGUGGUUUUCCAUCAGGUAACCUUCAGUGAUGGAGGUUCGCUGGGGCUCAUAAAUGUCUCUCCUCAGUGAGGACAGCUUUUUUGAACGUUUGAUCUCAAAUCAGGUAGGACUACCCGCUGAACUUAAGCAUAUCAAUAAGCGGAGGA
rnacentral:misc_RNA from 1 species